UGUAUCUGAGAUGUUACUCCACAAACUUCAUAAUAUUAAUCUAUCUAUGAGAUUUGACUGGUAUGAUAAUUUGUCAUAGAAGUGUUCUCCUAUAAUCUUAUAGGUUCUUACUCUUAUUGAUAUAAUCCAAUACUACUAUGGAAAUUGCUAUGAAAUAUUCUCUAAGGUCUUAGUUGUAGGGAUGUCAACUCGAAAAUAGAACCUUUGCAGUUGUGACAAUGUGUCCAUAGAAAUAUAUAAUAGCAAAAUUUUAGGGUGGAGUAGUGACUCCGUAUUUUUUGUAUCAUUUUUUGAGUAUUUUUACACCUAACUACUAACUCUCAUGUAACACUGUAUUGUUUAUAAAACUUGUGGGAUGUUUGUUUCACCAUGUGGUAUCACAUAGGUGGUGUUUGGAAAAUUGGUACGGGUGAUACCUAGAAACGCAUACAUAAUUACAAAUGUUUGGGUUUAUUUAGUAAAACUUCAGACCCCUUUUUAACUGACAAAAGAAGAGCUCAAACCCUCGUCUGUUUUUCUUCUCUUCCAUCUUGUUCCUGUCAGUCCCUCCUCUAAGAUCCCCGUCUUCUCUCCACCACGAUCGCUGCAUCUCACUCAUUUUCCUUCUUUUUGUGGGUUAUCUGUUCCUCUGCAAACUGCGCUAUAUGUCUGAUUGACAUUGGAGUGGGGGGGGACGGGGGUGGGGGGUUUUGGUGUCACUGCCUUGUCAUGGUCAGCAGUACUCUGGUCUCUAGCCACCUGCUGCUCUACACAAAAUUCCAAAAUGACUGAGAGGGCAGUACUCUACUCUCUAGCCACCCUGCCACCACCCAUCCACCUCGUCGCCCUACCCCGGCCAUCGCGGUCCCUUCUCCGCCGCUUGCCGACCUCCGGUAAGCUCGCAUCUCCCUCGAAAAUCUUUCUUAACCCCUCGUCGGAACUCACUUCCCCUGUUCACACCUCCCCCAUCCCUCGAAAAUCUUCCCCGACCCCUUGUCGGCCAUCGCUACCCCUGUUUCGAUCGAGCGAAGUUCGAAUUGAAGAAAAAUGAGAAUUUGUUGGAUUUCUUAAUUGGGGUUUUCUAGGGUUUGGAAGGUAUUGAUGAUAGAUAAUUAUGGUUUAUGAGCUUAGAAUUGACGGCAAUGGCUAGAGAAUGAAGGAAUGGUGAAAUAGGUUAGGGGAAGGUUUUGUGCGAUGGGCUCCGGGAGAUUUCGACAAAGUGGUGGCUGGCGGUGAGGUGGCUGGAGAAGUGGGAAAGUGAAGGAAAAAGGGGUUGUGUGGUGAUGUUGGUGGUGGUGGUAAAUCCGGUGAGUCCCUUUGUUUUUUCGAUUCAAACAACACACUACAUGGAAUGGUUUUUCAUUCCAUUAUCUUACAUUCCCUUUGUUCAUUCCAUUCCGUUUACCCCGUGCGAACCAAACGGCCCCUUAGGGCUCAGUUUGAUUACCCAAUGUCAUCUACCAUCCACACAUUAAGCAAUCUUUGUCAUCCUUACCUUAUUUUUGCAUAAGUUGUUUAGUGAUUCCGUCAAAACAAGGUAUCUAAGCCCUCCAAAAUCAAAUAUGGCGAUAAUUAUCAAAGGAAACAUCAAAAUUUAAGCUGAUUUGCAGCCAAAUUACAGCUCAUAUCUAUUUUUCACCAAAUUUUAAGCUAAUUUGUACAUAAUUAUUAGCCAAAUCAACGCAAAUAUUACUAACAGCCUAGCCUUAAUAACAUCAAACAUAUAAUUCAAAAAUGAAAUCAGCCUACAACGAUGAAAUUGACAACAAAUUCAAACAAAAAGCAUACAGAAGCAUAUUAAAAGCCAAUUACCAGAAGAAAUAAAAACUAUAACUGCAGAAAUUUCAAUGGAAGAAGCAUAAAUGAAAGAACAAAUAAAGCAGAAAUUAAAGCAGAGGGAACAAAAAGACUGAAGCCAAGGUCGGUUUUUUCGUGAAGAAUAAAGCAUGCAAGAGAAAAGGAUGAGCAAGAUGAGGAUGAGCUUCAUUUUGCCAUUAAAGACCAUACAUUAGAGGAGGAAGAAAGACACCAUAGAAAAAGUAAAGGGUGAGGUGAGUUGCCAAAAGAGAACCCCACUUAUCAUUUUCAGGAAAGAGCAAAUAGGAAAUCUAGUAACUUAACGAAACUUUAAGUAUAACUAACAGAGUAUUACGGUUAUAAUUUACAUUAAUCUUCGGUGGUAUAACAUAGAAGAAUGAAAAAAUUUGGGUACCAUAUGGAAAAGACAUAUUUAUAGUGGUACCAAAUGGAAAAUCCCGAAUCAUUAUAUACAUACAGUAAUAGAUAUCUUUGAAGGCUAUUAAAUCUCCAAUAUAAACACUUUACAAUCGGUUAGAUCUAAUUAAAAUAAAAGUUAUGGCAAAAUAAAAAAUGCGGACUAUCGUGCAUGUUAGGACGACUAGUAACCAUUCAAAGUGAGAACUUAUGAGUUUUUUUUUCCCUUAGUAAUAAAGUGCCAAUAAGAACCCUCAAAAAGUGCAAGUACUCUUGAGCUCUUGGUUUGCAAUGGAGAUGCUCUUUGCUUGUAGUAUACUUCCAAUUAUGACCUUGAAAAUGGUGUUUUUUUUUUCCCCUCAAUUUUGUCCUUUCCUUUCCUUUUCCCUUGCUUUUCUCGCUUUCCUAUCACAUCCAUGCAUUUUCCUACCUUUUCUCUCUACCCUAACACAGAGAUGCAUCUCCCUCCAUUUUCAGUGAGAAAUGCUGAAUGUUGUUACUACUCCUUUUUUCUCUCAUCUCACUUUCUCUCUCUAGAAAUGGGUGUUUUUGAGGGUUUUUCAAAGAAUUCAGGCAAGAAAUAGCACUGCAUAUUCCGAUUAUUCCAUAAUAAUUAUUAUCAUUUUCACUUGAUUCAUUGUUUUGAUGAUCCAUUUUUCAGCAUUAGCUCAUGGAUUUCUAGAUUUUAAUCUCAUCGAAUACCAAUUUCAUAAUCUUCAAAAGGGAAAUGGAUUAUGCACGUACUGGGUUGGGGUGUGAAUUAUGUGGGUGACAUUGGAAGACUUCGCAAAGUUCUUUCAAGCUUCAACAUUGUCUUGGCUCCAAAGAAGGAUACUAAUUAUAUCCGGGGGCAGAAAGCAGAAGUGGAGUAAGGGAAAGCAAAAGGAUGAGGUGAAUAGCUAAAUGGAUUAUAUGGAGUCAGCCAAGCAUGGAGUAUUUGUCUUCCUCACUUUCUUCUUUUAGGACCAGAGAGUGCAAAAGCAUGCCUCAUAAUGAUGUUAAAAGGCCCGUUGUGAGUUUUCGUGACUCUCAUUCAUAUGAUGAUGUUGAUGAGGAGGUGGUUUAUCGUGAGGUUGAAAGACUCACUCAAAAGAAGGAAGUUUUGCCUAGAUCUAAGAAAGGGGUCUGCUAUUGGUGUCUUAAAGGAAAUCGUUUCUGAAAAAGAGGCUUGUAUUGUCUGCAAUGCAAAGUAUUGUAGCAAUUGUGUUCUCAAGACCAUGGGGCCCAAUGCCUGAAGGAAGAAAAUGUGUUGCAUGCAUUGGAUAUUCCACUGAUGAGUCCAUGCGAGAGAAUUUGGGAAAGCACUCUAAGAUACUCAAGAGGCUGUUAAAUGAUUUGGAGAUUCGACAAAUAUUGAAAGCUGAGAAGCUUUGUGAUGUUAAUCAGCUGCCAACCGAGUACAACUGUGUAAACGGAAAGCCUCUAUGUCAUGAGGAGCUGCUGUUGUUACAGAUCGCUGUAGUUACAGACCUGUCUGUCGCCAGAAAACAUCAAACCAUGAAAUUUUGGUAUGACAAAGUAUCUGGACUUUGGGUAAAGGAAGGACCUUUCAGAUUAUCAGUUCACAUCUCCCAAGUGACGAUGGUUGAUACCAAGUAGAGGGACAAAAGAACACCAAAGGCUACACCAAAAGAAACACCGUUUUUGUCACUUCUCCUAAGUUUCCAUCUAGGCUCUACCAGGAAGCUCCCAUAUAUUAGGCUUUUAUAAUAUUUUUGGCAAUAAUGUUGAAUUUUGUUACUCUGUUGAUGAAAUUAGCAAACCCUGGUAAUAAUUUGUUGAUGAAUUAAGCAAACAAUGAUAUGGGGUUUGUGAGAAUGUAAUAUUGAUGUUGCAUAUAAUUUGUGUCUAAGGUUAGAAUGCUCAGUGGCUUAGUGGAGGGUGAACUUAUAGAUAAGUACUAGCAUUUAAGAACGAUUAAUGAUGGUUUUGUGUUUGCUUA